CAAGUUCCACCACUGAAUGAAAAGAGAUCAGCCCCCCACUGUCCGAGUCUUCCAUGGUUCCCUGGCUCUGUCAUGAGAAUGAAGUUUACUACUUGGGAAGCAGGAUUCUCUACCUCUGAGGACUUACUUUAUAAGGGAACACAGAGGAUGCAUCAUGUUUCCUAUCAGACUUCUUCUGUACCAUGCAGCUUCCAUCUCAGCUAAACAUUGAGACCCGGGGAGCAAGGGGAGCCCGCACUAAGCAGGAAAUGUCUUUCGAGAUAAGGAGACAAACUUUUAUGAGAGCUGAGAGACUGAAGACUGGAUGACUCUGAUGGUAAAAAGUAAAGUACACCUAAAUUUGCUUUGUUACAGGAUUCUCUGCAGAGAAACCAGAGAAGAUGCCAUAGUCUCUGAUGACAAUUCUGCAGUGUCAAAAACUGAUUAAUAAUAAAAAUAAACAACAUGUAGUUGUUUUCUGGCAGCUGAAUUGUGUAUCAUAUUUCUAAAGACAGUAAGGACUUGGGUGUAUGUCAAAGAAUACUAAACA